GAUGAACGCUGGCGGCGUGCCUAACACAUGCAAGUCGAACGAGAUGCGUAUCGGAAAGCUUCGGCCGGAAGAUACGUUAUCUAGUGGCGGACGGGUGAGUAACACGUGGGUAACCUGCCUUAUGGAGGGGGAUAACAGAGAGAAAUCACUGCUAAUACCGCAUAAGCACACAGUACCGCAUGGUACAGGGUGAAAAGAUUUAUCGCCAUAAGAUGGACCCGCGUCUGAUUAGCCAGUUGGCAGGGUAAAAGCCUACCAAAGCAACGAUCAGUAGCCGAUCUGAGAGGAUGACCGGCCACAUUGGGACUGAGACACGGCCCAAACUCCUACGGGAGGCAGCAGUGGGGAAUAUUGCACAAUGGGGGAAACCCUGAUGCAGCGACGCCGCGUGAGUGAAGAAGUAUUUCGGUAUGUAAAGCUCUAUCAGCAGGGAAGAUAAUGACA
rnacentral:rRNA from 1 species